rnacentral:misc_RNA from 1 species
AAUCCAAUCAAGCCUGGCUUGGUAUUGGGCGGCGGGACACCCCCGCGCCCCAAUUUCCCCGGCUGGCCGUCGCCCGUCUUAGCGUUCCGACUUAGUUCCGCUAGCGAUGGGAGGCGGACCACGCCGUUAGAACCCAUGAAUUUCGAUCGGAAUUCGAUUA